rnacentral:rRNA from 1 species
UACGGAGGGUGCAAGCGUUAUCCGGAAUCAUUGGGUUUAAAGGGUCCGUAGGCGGUCAAUUAAGUCAGAGGUGAAAUCCCAUAGCUUAACUAUGGAACUGCCUUUGAUACUGGUUGACUUGAGUCAUAUGGAAGUAGAUAGAAUGUGUAAUGUAGCGGUGAAAUGCAUAGAUAUUACACAGAAUACCGAUUGCGAAGGCAGUCUACUACGAAUGUACUGACGCUGAUGGACGAAAGCAUGGGUAGCGAAAGGG